rnacentral:misc_RNA from 1 species
UGGCGGAUAACGUAGGUUUUAUCAAUCCCAUCAAUAUGGGUAUCAAAUGAAAGGACUCAACAAGCAGAAUACAAUAUACUAUAAAAAAUUUAAAUACAAGAUGGCGGCCGCUACAAAAUGGCGGAUAACGUAGGUUUUAUCAAUCCCAUCAACAUGGGUAUCAAAUGAAAGGUCUCAACAAGGAGAAUACAAUUUACUAUG